rnacentral:rRNA from 1 species
AGUGAACGCUGGCGGUAGGCCUAACACAUGCCAGUCGAACGGCAGCACAGUAAGAGCUUGCUCUUACGGGUGGCGAGUGGCGGACGGGUGAGUAAUACAUCGGAAUCUACUUUUUCGUGGGGGAUAACGUAGGGAAACUUACGCUAAUACCGCAUACGACCUACGGGUGAAAGCAGGGGAUCUUCGGACCUUGCGCGAUUGAAUGAGCCGAUGUCGGAUUAGCUAGUUGGUGGGGUAAAGGCCCACCAAGGCGACGAUCCGUAGCUGGUCUGAGAGGAUGAUCAGCCACACUGGAACUGAGACACGGUCCAGACUCCUACGGGAGGCAGCAGUGGGGAAUAUUGGACAAUGGGCGCAAGCCUGAUCCAGCCAUACCGCGUGGGUGAAGAAGGCCUUCGGGUUGUAAAGCCCUUUUGUUGGGAAAGAAAAGCAGCAGGUUAAUACCCCGCUGUUCUGACGGUACCCAAAGAAUAAGCACCGGCUAACUUCGUG